AAUGUUUCAAAUUUACCACAAACAUCCAGUUGAACAGAUGAACUGAUUACAUUUUGGAGUUCAAAGGUCACUGUGACCUCAUGCCCAUCCUGUUUUUGUAACAGGAUACGCCUUGAAGGAAUAUCUUCAAUUUUGUCACAAACAUCCACUUGGACUCAAGGAUGAACUAAUAAGAUUUUGAGCUCACAGACCUGUGGGCUACCAUGUGAAACAACAGUUUGACGAUGAAAAAAGACUCAAAUAGUGUUUAUGUAACAGGAAUCUGCAGGCUGAAAUAUGUCUCAACACUUUCAGUUUGGAAACACUUUUUUAUUUGAUCUCUUUCUUUAAAAUGCACAGGCACGUUGGUGUUUUGUUCCUCAGCCGUGACUCUCAUGAACAGAAGGGAAGACAUUUGGUCGGAUACUGAAUCGUUAACACUGAUCUGGAAACUGUGGUCGUGACGAUGACUUUCUUGCUGUGAAUUUGUCCCCUGAGGACCGAACACAGACGCCAGGAGCCAGGGUCGAAAGUCAGCAGCAGGGUCACUUUAAUAACGGACCUCACACCCCUUAGAAACUCAACUGUUCAACAAUCCAUAUAAAAACACCCUAAUAAUUGGUGUAGUGCUUAGCGCUCUCACCUCACAGC